GAUGAACGCUAGCAGAACGCCUAACACAUGCAAGUCGAACGGACUAGUUGCUUCGGUAACUAGUUAGUGGCAAACGGGCGAGUAACACGUGCUUAAUCUGCCCUGGAGAGGGGGACAACUACGGAGACGUAGCUAAACCCCCAUACGCUCAUGGAAAUAGAAAAUAACCAUGAGGAAACGAUUUAUUCGCUCUAGGAGGAGGGUGGCGGCCUAUCAGGUUGUUGGUGAGGUAAAGGCUCACCAAGCCUAUGACGGGUAACCGGUCUGAGAGGAUGUCCGGUCGCAAUGGAACUGAGACACGGUCCACUACCCCGUACCGGGGGCGAGCAGUGGGGAA
rnacentral:rRNA from 1 species